GUGCUAACUUCAGCAGCAUAUAUACUAAAAUUGGAAUGAUACAGAUAAGAUUAGCAUGGCCCCUUCGCAAGGAUGACACACAAAUUUGUGAAGCGUUCCAUAUUUUA